ensembl:lncRNA
UGACUCUGCUGUGCGCUCUCUCUGCUUUCUUUAUCAUAUUCUUGCUGCCCACUCCCCCCCCCCCCCCCCCCCCCCAUAUAUUCCUCCCCUCUCUCACACUCUGUUGUGUGGCGUUAUCAAAAGAGCUGUUUCUGCCUCCAGGAUGUUUCUAGGUCACUGGCAGUCUGCUUGCACGUAAUGAUUCUUUAGUCCUCUGCUAAUGCUGCCUUGAUGCUGUGGCACAGGUGCUAAUAGAGCAAGCCUAGCACACUCUGCUAAUGCUGCCUUGAUGCUGUGUCACAGGUGCUAAUAGAGCAAGGCUAGCACACUCACGCCUCCUUUUGCCUUCUGUUCAAUGGGUUGAUAUGCAUUCAUAUCACACCCCUGACUAAUUAUAGCAAACAACACAUUGUCAAUUAUCAGUCAGGCUAACAAAUAUUUGCCAAUUGCCAACUAGGUGACCAUUUUCAAGACAUUUAAAACAAAUAAACACAGGUUAAGUAACAGGUAUAUAGUUAGAAUAUAGUUUGUCCAUGCCAGGGAGUGUUUUAGUUAUAAAAAUGAUGUUGUUGUUAUUCAGAUAAGCACGCAAGGGCUGUUGAGUACGUCCUAUGAUGUCUCAAGUCUCACACACAGCCCAAUAGCCCGUGUUUGUCCUCUUCUCGUCCUGUUUCCUUCUGUAUAUCUGGGAGGAGUGAGUCCCACGCAGGACGAAGUGUUUGAGAAAGAUCACACGUGUCACCACAUUUAAAAGAAGAUAAUACAGUAACACUGCACACAUGAAGAGAGAGGGUGUCUAAGAAUGGUAAAGAAAAAAGAAUACAUCAUGGGAAAGAACAAAGGAGAGGGUUUGUUCUGCUAUACACGGUGUAGUAAGUCAGAUGUUUGUUUGGAACAUUUGAUUUUUAGUUUUUUUUGUAGUUUUUGUCACAUGAGAAUGCUUGAAACUCACUGAUAUAUGUAAGAGUAAAGUACUCCUUUAGCAUUUCCUUUUGAAGUGUCCUACCUAUGCUUAUGGCGUUGUAGCAUCUUCAGUCCUUGAACUUGACUGAAAUGAAGUCAAAAGACAACACAGUUCAUAGCCAGAAGCAUUUGAAGCACGAAAGUAAAGAAAGGAAGAAGCACAACUGCCAGUGAAAACAAACCUUUGCUCCAGUCGACGUGUGAGCCGAGCCCAAAUCCAGGGCCAUUGAUUUGGGAGUUAUGUGCUCUGACAAGUUUGCAGAUGGCCAGACUGAAGACAUGAAACUAGCCAUUUGUUCUCCUGAGGGUUUUUUUUUACUUUGGAGUCCCUGCCAAUCCC